rnacentral:rRNA from 1 species
AUUGAACGCUGGCGGAAUGCUUUACACAUGCAAGUCGAACGGCAGCACGGGAGCUUGCUCCUGGUGGCGAGUGGCGAACGGGUGAGUAACAUAUCGGAACGUACCCCGUCGUGGGGGAUAACUCUCCGAAAGGAGUGCUAAUACCGCAUACGACCUGAGGGUGAAAGCGGGGGACCUGCAAGGGCCUCGCGCGAUGGGAGCGGCCGAUAUCGGAUUAGCUAGUUGGUGAGGUAAAGGCUCACCAAGGCGACGAUCCGUAGCGGGUCUGAGAGGACGACCCGCCACACUGGAACUGAGACACGGUCCAGACUCCUACGGGAGGCAGCAGUGGGGAAUUUUGGACAAUGGGGAAACCCUGAUCCAGCCAUUCCGCGUGAGUGAAGAAGGCCUGGUGUAAGCUACUUUCUAGCAGGAACGAAACGGACGAGGCUUAAUUACAGACCUGCUAAUGACGGUACCGUAGCAGAAGAAGAC